GAUGAACGCUGGCGGCGUGCUUAACACAUGCAAGUCGAACGGUAAGGCCCCUUCGGGGGUACACGAGUGGUGAACGGUUGAGUAACACGUGGGCAAUCUGCCCUUCUCUCCGGGAUAACUCAGGGAAACUUGAGCUAAUACCGGAUACUCCGGGACGAUCGCAUGGUCGACCCGGGAAAGCUCCGACGGAGAAGGAUGAGCCCGCGGCCCAUUAGCUUGUUGGUGAGGUAACGGCUCACCAAGGCUGCGAUGGGUAGCCGAGCUGAGAGGCUGAUCGGCCACACUGGGACUGAGACACGGCCCAGACUCCUACGGGAGGCAGCAGUGGGGAAUCUUGCGCAAUGGGCGAAAGCCUGACGCAGCAACGCCGCGUGCGGGAUGAAGGCCUUCGGGUUGUAAACCGCUUUCAGCAGGGACGAAACUGACGGUACCUGCAGAAGAAGCCCCGGCUAACUACGUGCCAGCCGCCGCCGUAAGAC
rnacentral:rRNA from 1 species